rnacentral:rRNA from 1 species
UGGGGAAUAUUGCACAAUGGAGGGAACUCUGAUGCAGCGACGCCGCGUGAACGAAGAAGGCUUUCUAGUCGUAAAGUUCUUUUAUAUGGGAAGAUAAUGACGGUACCAUAAGAAAAAGCCCCGGCUAACUACGUGCCAGCAGCCGCGGUAAUACGUAGGGGGCUAGCGUUGUCCGGAAUCACUGGGCGUAAAGGGUUCGCAGGCGGAAAUGCAAGUCAGGUGUAAAAGGCAGUAGCUUAACUACUGUAAGCAUUUGAAACUGCAUAUCUUGAGAGGAGUAGAGAUAAGUGGAAUUUUUAGUGUAGCGGUGAAGUGCGUAGAUAUUAAAAAGAAUACCGGUGGCGAAGGCGACUUACUGGGCUCAUUCUGACGCUGAGGAACGAAAGCGUGGGUAGCAAACAGG